CUGUGGGGAAGUCAACCUGACUUAACCUCAGAGUAUAGUCUCCCAGACUAGAAGCUUGUUUUUGGUAUUCAAAUUUCCUAAACAGUGCUUUGUUAUGGGAGAGCUCACAAAUAUAAAACUAGCAGAAGGCAACAAAGUCACUUCAUUUCCCAGAUGUCUUUUUUGGUCCUGUCUUCUGUAGUAAAUUCCAUCAGAGAGGGCUGAUCUUGGGGUGUCAGGAUGCUGUGGAGACUGGACACUACCCACAGGCCAGUGUUUCUCAGCAACUAUAAACAGCUGAAAGUAAAGCCCAGGUACUUGGAGCUUUAACAACUCAACCUUGGGUCAGAAGAGCGCUUGCCUGUGGUACCAGAGAUGAACCAAGUGUGUCCCACCCUGAGGGAAGUUAUCUCUGCCAGUACAGACACCCUCCUCUGACCAAGUUCUGGGACCCACAGUUCUUGCUGCUCCCCCAAGCCUUGUAUCUGUGUGUCCCCAAUAAACUGCACCCCUUAUAAUUCUGGACGUGUUUGCCUCUGCCUUUGGUCUCACAGCACUUUGGGUUAAGUCCUCAACAUGGCCUGAUUGUUCUAGAAUUGUUCUGUGCCUAAAGUAGCUUCCUGUGCUUUCCUCUUAACUGUAUCCUCCACAGAAUGUAGGUUCUGUAAGGAGAAGACUGCUCAUGUCUCUGAGCUAUGCUAGUGCCUGGAUCAUGAAGGCAUCUUCCCAAUGGAUAACACCCAGUAGUUAACUAACCUCUUCUCAGUGUUCAGAAAAUUAAGCUUAAAGCAGGGGCUUCCCUCCCAUCUAGUUGCAAGGAUCUGACUUCCACCAUUGUUUCCUUCUGUUUGUAGAAAUGAGGUUUCCAUUUUCCUGAAUUCUGUGGAAAGUUUCUUUUGCAUCUUUCUCUCCAGACACAAUAGCGUGUUCCAGAUACUUGGCACCAUUUAUCUCUUUUUGAAAAUGACUUGAGCAGGUCCAGGGAAUUACCACAGAUGUUGUCCUGAAUUAUCUCCCCAAAUGGAAGUGCAGAGAGGCUCCCCUACUUCCCUAAGACUGAUGAAGAGUGUCCAUUCACAGUGAAGAUUAAGAAGAACAAGGUCCCGAGUCCUCUGUUUUCCCUGCCUCUUGCAUCCAGCACUGCGUCCCACACAGGGGAGUGCAGAACAGCAGUGGGUAUCAACAGGAGCAAAAAUUGUUGUUUCAACCUUUCAGAAAAGCAAUGGAGGGCAUCAGGAGCUUUAAACAUGUUUGUGCUGGGUUGAAGUCAUUUUCUUUCAAG
rnacentral:lncRNA from 1 species